UACGUAGGAGGCGAGCGUUGUCCGGAAUUACUGGGCGUAAAGAGCGCGUAGGUGGCGCGAUACGACCGGUGUGAAAUCCUCCGGCUCAACUGGAGGGGGUCACUGGUAACGGUCGUGCUUAUGAGUGCAGGAGAGGGACGUGGAACUCCGGGAGUAGCGGUGAAAUGCGUAGAGACCCGGAGGAACACCAGUGGCGAAGGCGGCGUCCUGGCCUGCGACUGACGCUGUGGCGCGAAAGCUAGGGGAGCGAACGGG
rnacentral:rRNA from 1 species